UCAGCUCAUUAUUCAAAACCCAAUUUUUGUUCAGGACAUUCAGAGAAGACUAAAACCAAUUACAGCGCCGGGAGUCCUGAGUUCAAAGAUACAAUGUCAGAGUACAGCAUGGGCAACUGCCGCUUCUUCACCUACGAGGAAAUGCACAACAUCACAAACGGUUUCUCUGAUCAAAACCUGCUGGGGGAAGGCGGCUUCGGGUCUGUCUACAAGGGCUGCUUGCCCGAAGGAAGAGAGGUUGCCAUUAAGAAACUGAAAGACGGCAGCGGGCAGGGGGAGCGCGAGUUCCAGGCCGAGGUGGAGAUCAUCAGCCGCGUGCAUCACCGCCACCUGGUUUCUCUCGUUGGGUAUUGCAUCUCGGGCGAUCAGCGCUUGCUUGUCUAUGAUUUUGUGCCCAACGACACGCUGCACUAUCAUCUACAUGGACGUGGAGUGCCGGUCCUGGAAUGGCCAGCCAGGGUUAAAAUUUCUGCUGGGUCGGCUAAAGGAAUAGCAUAUCUUCAUGAAGAUUGUCAUCCCCGGAUUAUCCACCGAGAUAUAAAAUCCUCUAAUAUUCUGCUGGAUAACAACUUCGAGGCACAGGUUGCUGAUUUUGGUCUUGCAAGACUAGCCAUGGAUUUUGCCACGCAUGUAACUACACGGGUGAUGGGAACUUUUGGGUACAUGGCUCCAGAGUAUGCAUCCAGUGGCAAAUUGACUGAGAAAUCUGAUGUCUUCUCUUUUGGCGUUGUCCUCUUAGAGCUCAUUACUGGUAGAAAGCCUGUCGAUGCAUCAAAUCCAUUGGGCGAUGAGAGCCUUGUCGAGUGGGCUAGGCCACUGCUCACACAAGCGCUCGAGACUGGCAAUGUAGGGGAGCUGCUGGACCCCAGGCUGGACAAGAACUUCAACGAGGUCGAACUGUUCCAUAUGAUCGAAGCGGCAGCAGCCUGCAUCCGACACUCGGCACCCCGGAGGCCCCGGAUGAGCCAGGUGGUGCGGGCUCUCGAUAGCCUAACCGACGUCGACCUGACCAACGGGGUGCAGCCAGGGAUGAGCGAGAUGUUCAACGCGCCCAACACCGCGGAGAUCAGGCUGUUCCAGCGGAUGGCGUUCGGGAGCCAGGACUUCACGACCGACUUCACCCAGUCUAGCAGCUGGAACAGCAGCCGUCAGGGCGGAGACGUCGACGCCUCUGGUGGGCCGAGGCACCCGCAGUCGCAACCGUAG
rnacentral:rRNA from 1 species